UCUAAACUGGCAUUACAUCCUGUGAGACAAAGCAAGCAGCUGCCGCUGAAAGACCACUCCAUCCCUCCUGCCUCGACCCAGCCCCCUUAGCUCAGAUCACAAUCAAAGUAAGGUAAAGGAGAGGAACGAUUUUGCCAGGAGUGCACCUCACAAAAUCUCCUUCCCCUUCCCUAGCGGACCUCUGAAAUUGGCCAGUGAAAACACACUCCAGAAGGUGAGCAAAGGAUUGUUUCCAAUCUAAAGUGAACCAUUGAACAGAAAAAGACAGGAAGGAAUGGUGGUAGACGGACUGAUGCAGGAUGGGGCAAAGCUCUCACCAGUGGGACUCUACCGGUGUGCGGUAAUGGACUUGAGAACAAGGGAGGACUAGUCAAGAGUGGCUUCCUGACCCCUCCGGGUUACUCUACACUAUGAAUAAUAAUACAAAUGAAGAAGAAGAAGAAGAAGAAGAAGAAGAAGAAGAAGAAGAAGAAGAAGAAGAAGAAGAAGGGCUCUUUCUACCAAUCAGGGCAAUAGCCACUGCAGCAGCAGUACUGGGAAGUGACUGGAUAAAUUGGUCCAUGCAAGGAAACAUUUCAUUGUUGUCAACACCUCAGACUCAUUCCUGUAGCAUGAAGAAAUUGAUUGCAGGCAAAGUUAAUACCAGCUCUGUGCCUUAUACAUGGCCCCUAUGGAUGGAGCUAGUGGUGUGGGAGUUAGGCUCUGAGCCCAGGUGCCUGGGCCAGAUAGCUUAUCUCCUCUGCUGAGAGUUACUUCAGCUAGUUUUCCUUUUACUGUCUCCUCAUAGCAACUGGAAGUAAUGUAAUCUUAAGGUAGCUAAGUGGUAAAAAAUAUGGUCAUUUUCAAAACAUAGAAAUGCACUUUUUCUCCACCACAUGAAUUUAUGCAUCCCAUACAGAAAAUGCGAAAUUUACAUGCAUGUGACAUGUCAGUUGAGGCCCACAAAAUAAGAAUUAAAGAGAACAAACCGCAUCGUGGAAUGCUAAAUGUGCAAUUCAUAACCUAAACCCGUCCUGGAGCAGAUACAAAUACUAAGCAGCUGAUAGGGCAUUCAGAAACAGAACAAUACUCAAUCACAUCAGAAACAAUGCUAUCUUGUAUGGAGAGAGGGCCUGAGAAAACUAGCAGGUAUGAUUCCAAGGGGAAGUAGAUGCUCCUCCAGUUUCAAUCAUAGUAUAUUAGAUUUCUUAUACUGUAUAACAUUUGAAGCAUAUAAGCAUUUAAAUCCUUGCUUUCCUAAUUAUACUCUGUUUUGUUAAUUUGUCACCCCUUUGCUUUUCUAAGCUAGUCUUUAUGGAGCUGCCCUGGAAACUGGUCAUAACUAAACAUUUUCCCCCAAUUACAGUUUCUCAAAGCAAUGUAGAAAAUCAGAGCAUGGGAAAGUAAAACUGGAAUAAAUUACGUUUUCACCUUUGUGAAUGGAGUAACAUGCUCUCGCUCAUUCUGUGAACAGGUUUU